rnacentral:rRNA from 1 species
AUUGAACGCUGGCGGAAUGCUUUACACAUGCAAGUCGAACGGCAGCACGAGAGCUUGCUCUUGGUGGCGAGUGGCGAACGGGUGAGUAAUAUAUCGGAACGUAUCCAAUAAUGGGGGAUAACUAAUCGAAAGGUUGGCUAAUACCGCAUACGCCCUACGGGGGAAAGCAGGGGAUCUUCGGACCUUGCGUUAAUGGAGCGGCUGAUAUCUGAUUAGCUAGUAGGUGAGGUAAAGGCUCACCUAGGCUUCGAUCAGUAGCUGGUCUGAGAGGACGACCAGCCACACUGGAACUGAGACACGGUCCAGACUCCUACGGGAGGCAGCAGUGGGGAAUUUUGGACAAUGGGCGCAAGCCUGAUCCAGCCAUUCCGCGUGAGUGAAGAAGGCC